rnacentral:lncRNA from 1 species
UUUUUUGCUCUUCACAGAGUUUCUCCGCGCUUCCCUGUGAAGCCCUGAGCACAAGUGCUAUGUCGCUCCGGGAGCGAAAAAGUGGAGAGCGCUUGCUGGUGUUAGAUUUUUACUCUUCAGUUAAUACUGCAUCACAGUCACUGUCAUAAUGACCUUCAUCUGGGCAAAGCAGCUGGAGAGUCAAAUUAUAGUGAGACUGCACAAAAAGAUCGGAGCAAGAAAAUCCAAAGUAUUCCUCCCUCGCUUUCUUGCCAGAAUGCUGUUGAACGGAGGUUUAAGAAAUACAACUUUUACUAUCAGAAAUUCACCCUCCCACAACCAACCUGAAACGAAACGUGUUUGCAACACUUCAGAAUAACGCCUGAGGUAAGGUAUACUUUGUCUGACAC